rnacentral:rRNA from 1 species
AGAUUAAGCCAUGCAUGUCUAAGUAUAAGCAAUUAUACAGCGAAACUGCGAAUGGCUCAUUAUAUAAGUUAUCGUUUAUUUGAUAGUACCUUACUACUUGGAUAACCGUGGUAAUUCUAGAGCUAAUACAUGCUAAAAAUCCCGACUUCGGAAGGGAUGUAUUUAUUAGAUUAAAAACCAAUGCCCUCUGGGCUCCUUGGUGAUUCAUAAUAACUUUUCGAAUCGCAUGGCCUUGCGCCGGCGAUGGUUCAUUCAAAUUUCUUCCCUAUCAACUUUCGAUGUUUGGGUAUUGGCCAAACAUGGUCGCAACGGGUAACGGAGGGUUAGGGCUCGACCCCGGAGAAGGAGCCUGAGAAACGGCUACUACAUCCAAGGAAGGCAGCAGGCGCGCAAAUUACCCAAUCCCGAUUCGGGGAGGUAGUGACAAUAAAUACUGAUACAGGGCUCUUUUGGGUCUUGUAAUUGGAAUGAGUACAAUUUAAAUCCCUUAACGAGGAACAAUUGGAGGGCAAGUCUGGUGCCAGCAGCCGCGGUAAUUCCAGCUCCAAUAGCGUAUAUUAAAGUUGUUGUGGUUAAAAAGCUCGUAGUUGAACCUUGGGCCUGGCUGGCCGGUCCGCCUCACCGCGUGUACUGGUCCGGCCGGGCCUUUCCCUCUGUGGAACCUCAUGCCCUUCACUGGGUGUGGCGGGGAAACAGGACUUUUACUUUGAAAAAAUUAGAGUGCUCCAGGCAGGCCUAUGCUCGAAUACAUUAGCAUGGAAUAAUGAAAUAGGACGUGUGGUUCUAUUUUGUUGGUUUCUAGGACCGCCGUAAUGAUUAAUAGGGACAGUCGGGGGCAUCAGUAUUCAAUUGUCAGAGGUGAAAUUCUUGGAUUUAUUGAAGACUAACUACUGCGAAAGCAUUUGCCAAGGAUGUUUUCAUUAAUCAGGAACGAAAGUUAGGGGAUCGAAGACGAUCAGAUACCGUCGUAGUCUUAACCAUAAACUAUGCCG